GCUCCGGUGGCCUAGUGGUAAGAGCGCCCGCUUCGGAUGCUUGAGGUAGACAGUUCGAACCCCGGCCGGGUCA